rfam:Euryarchaeota archaeon RBG_13_57_23 RBG_13_scaffold_1190, whole genome shotgun sequence.
AAUUCGGAUUCGAAAGUCGUCGAUGCGCAGGCCGGCAUCGAGACCGCCAUAAGCAUCCUGCAAGCGAGUUACGCAGGUGUCAACUUCAUGUACGAUUCGG